rnacentral:sRNA from 1 species
UAUAUAUUUAUACACGCAACGGUUUCACUUUGCAAAUUGUAUACAACAACAACAACAACAACAAAAAUUUACAAUCAACCAAAUUAAUUGUUAGGCCAGUGUUGCCCAGCAUCGCAAAUAAGUGAAAAUAAAUGUGCAAAUAAUAAUUAUCGAUAAUUAAAAAAUUAAUCACACAAAAUAUGUAAAAAUAUCGUCAAAAUGCAGCGAAACAAACUCAAUGAAAACUUGGAUUACUACGCACUUCGAAAUAUUGAUUGAAGAAGCUUUUCGAGUCGAAAGCUUUGAAUAAAAUAAUAAAAAAGUUUGUUUCAUUUACGUUCCGUGGCGCGUUUCUUCUGUGUUUCUGUGUGUGUAGCACCAACAGUUGGACUUCAAAUCAACGACUACAUUAACAACAGCAACAGCAGCAGCAGCAACAACAACAACUGCAACAACAGCAACAACAACAGCAACAGCAACUACAACAACGGGCACAUCUAACGCUGCAGCUAACAGAUGAGCCCCAACAACAGAUGUCAAUUGCUGCAGCCGAAAAUGCAGGGCUUAGCCCAGGUGACUUACCAGAUCAUUGGGCCUCAGGUACAGCAACAACACACGGUGCAGCAGCUGCCACAAGCAACAAGCACAAC